rnacentral:rRNA from 1 species
AAGCAGGGGAUCGUAAGACCUUGCGCUUUUGGAGCGGCCGAUGCCUGAUUAGCUAGUUGGUGGGGUAAAGGCCUACCAAGGCGACGAUCAGUAGUUGGUCUGAGAGGACGACCAGCCACACUGGGACUGAGACACGGCCCAGACUCCUACGGGAGGCAGCAGUGGGGAAUUUUGGACAAUGGGCGAAAGCCUGAUCCAGCAAUGCCGCGUGAGUGAAGAAGGCCUUCGGGUUGUAAAGCUCUUUCAGCCGGGAAGAAAAGAUCGCGACUAAUAAUCGCGAUUCAUGACGGUACCGAAAGAAGAAGCACCGGCUAACUACGUGCCAGCAGCCGCGGUAAUACGUAGGGUGCGAGCGUUAAUCGGAAUUACUGGGCGUAAAGGGUGCGCAGGCGGUUUUGUAAGUCAGAUGUGAAAUCCCCGGGCUUAACCUGGGAACUGCGUUUGAAACUACAAAGCUAGAGU